AAACUACUCCCUCUGUCCGAAAAAGCUUGUCCCAAACUUGUCCCUCAAAUGGAUGUAUCUAGCACUAACUUGGUGCUAGAUACAUCCAUUUGAGGGACAAGCUUUUUCGGACGGAGGGAGUAUGAG
rnacentral:pre_miRNA from 1 species